rnacentral:rRNA from 1 species
CCCUUAGAUGUUCUGGGCCGCACGCGCGCUACACUGAUGCAUUCAACGAGUCUAAAACCUGGUCUGAUAGGGCUGGGUAAUCUUUUGAAUGUGCAUCGUGAUUGGGAUAGAUGAUUGCAAUUCUUCAUCUUCAACGAGGAAUGCCUAGUAAACGCAAGUCAUCAGCUUGCAUUGAUUACGUCCCUGCCCUUUGUACACACCGCCCGUCGCUCCUGCCGAUUGAAUGUUCCGAUGAAUACCAUGGACUGAGAGUAUGAAUGGGUUCGCCUAUUUCUGCUUCUCGGGAAGUGGAGUAAAUCUUAACAUUUAGAGGAAGGAGAAGUCGUAACA